UCCAGGAUAGCCUAGUGGACAUGGCACCUGCCCGGUAAGCAAAGGUUGUGGGUUCGAUUCCCGCUCCUGGAA
rnacentral:tRNA from 1 species